rnacentral:misc_RNA from 1 species
UUAUAAAAAAAAAAAAAAAAAUCUAAAAUUCUUAUUGGUUUGUGUAUAUGCACAUGCAUAUACAUCCCACAUCAAUUUCAGGGUAUGGAUAAAACCUAUAAUGGGAGGAAGGGAAAAAAAGUACAUAUUAUAGAGAUGUUUAUGUAUUAUUGCACUUGCUUCAGGUCUGUUUGAAAGCAAGUACAGGUUUUUUAGUUUAUAAACAGUGAAUAAAAUCUAAUAGAGAUCAUUGUUCUUCUCCUGCUUUUCAUGGGGUUCAUUUAAGUAAUAGCAUAAAGCAUAUUGCAAGUGGUGCUCAAUAUAACUUGCACAACUAACUCUUUUGUCUACUAAGUUGUUUAUACUAAAAUUUCACUAAUUGGAUUAACAAUGAACAAAUAAUUCACUAGUCAUUUGCAUAGUUAUUAAAGGACCGCCUCAGUAGGCUACAGCCCUACUGCCUCUGGAGGAGAAAGGUGGGCGACAUGCACCAAGCCCUC